CUUCGUGUUGUAGUGGAUGAAUAGUGUCCUAUCUCGAGGUGAUGAAGUUGAAUUCUUCCACGAGGAGUUUCGUUGUCCAGUUUAUGUCAAGGAUGUGGUGAAUGUCAUACUAGCUUUGACUAAGAUGUGGAUUUCAAGCUAUUGGCUUUCUCCCUACGUCAAAGGUGAAGACAUAUGUUUUGCCUUUCUCACCUGCUACACUUAUCCUCUACCAUUUUCAUUGAAAUGAAUUCCCUUUACCAUCAACAAUCAUCAUCUGUUAUAAUUCUCAGAAGUGAUCCUUGCUUUUAAAAUUUGUCAGAUUUGAAGGACUUAAUUCUAUGAGGAAAAGUUGGGUUAUUUUGAAUUUGUGAAGGAAAUAAUUGUGGAAGCUGAUGAAGCAUGUUUGAAUGAUUAAGGCACAUUGACUAUGAGGAACUCAUUUCUUGAAGAUGCAUUUAAUUCAUCAUGUGAAGGAAUCAUGGUAAAAUCUCUAGAUGUUGAUGCUGGGUA